AAGAUGAUGAUGUUUUCUCUGAAAAAUGUAAUGAAGUACAAGAGGACAAAUAACGUGUUCUGUUUUCAAUGUGCUCUUUUUUUCCUUCAACAAAGGCGUAUUCUUUUCCAACAACAAGCUGUGCUAGAUCAUGUAUCAGGUCAUGCAUUUUACAAGUAAGAAUGUCACCACAAUCAUCUAAAGUCACAUUUUGGAAAAGUGACAUUGACAGCAAAUUCAUGAAGUACUCAUGACCAACAUCUUCUUCACAUCUAUUGUCUCGUGAUGGUUGAAUGAACCCCUCAGCCACCCAUAACUGAAUGAGUGUUUUCUUGUCAAACUCAAAAUCUUUUGGAAACAAUGAACAAUAAGCAAAACACUUUUUCAAAAAUGAAGGAAGAUGAUCAUAACUCAGUUUAAGGAUUGAAAAAAUGUUGUCCUUGUGUUGAUCUAUCUUUGAAAACUCAACUUCACUAAAAUAUUGCCAAUCACUCCGACCCAAGUUUCGAGAGUACAAGAGGCUGCCAAUAGUUCUUAUGGCAAGGGGAACCCCAGCACAUUUUUUAACAAUAUCCCUUCCCAUGGCUAACAAUUCCAUAUCAUUUGGUUCUUUCCCCCCAUCAAAAGCCACUCGAGAGAAUAGCUUCCAAGAUCUUUCUAAAUCAAGACCUUUCAAGAAAAGGGGUGGAUGUGUGGCUACUAUUUUCGCCACAGUCCUACUACGUGCUGUUACAAUUAUGGCACUUCCUUUACCUCCUUCCACGACUAAGCUCUUGAAUUUAAGCCACAGUUCCCUAUCCUCAUUCCACACGUCAUCCAGCACAAGUAGAAACUUUUUUCCACGAACUUUGUUUCUAAGAUCUUGCUGUAGUUGCUCAAUCUCACUAUUCUUAUCAUUCCCAAUCAUCUUUUCGGCUAUUUUGCUGAUGUCAAAUUCAUCUGAGACACACACCCACAUUUUCUGCUCAAAAGAGCAUUGGACAGCAUUGUCAUUAAAAACAAGUUGAGCGAGGGUAGUCUUACCUAGUCCUCCAAACCCAACUAUGGCUAAUACAGACACAUUGUCUAUCACACUCACUUUGGUGUCAAGCAAAUAACUUUCAAGAAGUUUCUUUUCCUCCUUUCUCCCAAUAACAUCAUCUUCUCUCACAAAAGAAUAAGUUUGUCUCUGCCUCCUAUAUGCAAUUGGAGUCUCCAUAGGGCGGUCAGUCAAUUGCAAAGUAAUCUUGUUUUUAGCAAUAGCAUCUAGCCUCUUCUGGAUUGCUUUCAUUUGAUGACCUAAUUUAAAACUAUAGACAAUUUGGUUUUCUUGGGAGAAGAAAACCUGUAUCUUUCUCAAGAUUUUUCUAGCACCAAUCACUUUUCUUUUCAUUGCUUCAGAGGAGAUAUCAUUGAGCAAGUCAUCUGCAUCAUAAAGUACAUCUUUCAGCUCCUCCAACCAAUUACUGAUUUGAAGGUUGUUGGCCUUUCCCUCUGCAUCCAGGAGCACAGCCUUUAUUGCAGAUACUGUGCGCUUCAUUUGCUGUACGUCAUCUUUGAGAUUCCAAAUGAUUCCAAACUCCUCUUGAGCAAAAGAGUUCAAGUUUUGUAAUACUAUCUGAGCAAUUACUUCCAUCCUUUGCCAGAUGAAGUUUGGUACAAACAUUAGUAACAACAAUGUUAGGGAUCAAACAAUUUCACAGCCAAAUGUAGUUUUGUACAGCAUUAGAUAUCAAAUAAUUUCACAUCCAUAACAACAAAUGAAUCCUUUAAAAAAUAAAGUGUGGCCAGCUACAUGGGUGACAGCCACCAUAAUGUUCUGUUAUAAAUCAUAUCAUUUUGAUUGUGAGCAAUAUCCUCACAGUGGGUGUUACCUCUCCUGAAAAAUUCUUCUCCAUACACACAAUCAGGGAAUCAAACCCUUUAAUUUGCUUAAAGAACUCAGUUAUCUACGAUUUGUGUUGAUAUGUUAUAAAUCAGAUUUGAGGAGAAAUCAUUGACCUUGGAAGUCAAAUAGUCUUGUUGCAUAUAACAAGAAAGGAGCAGACAAAAUUCCAGUUAAGAUGAUAAAAAAAAUCAACGAGUUCUACUAACGUUUUCAAAACAUAUUGAUUAACUGAAUAGGACGCGAUUACAGAAACCAGAAUUAAAAUAAAAAAGUAAAAAUGAUGGGUGUCUAUAUAUGUUGGAAUUGAGAGAGAAAAUUCCAGAGUAAUGAUAUUAGUUGCAUGGUUUAUGAUGAAAUUAAGUGGUGCUAUCUACAAUAGAACAUCUUAUUGGUUGAAUACCUAAGAAAGUUAGAAUUAGAGAGACAGGGAGAGAUAGCUGACCUGCUUUGGAAAAAGGAGUGUAAAUGCAGGGGCAACAGUUGUGGGCAAGUGUUGAAUAUCAAGAGAUAUGAGGAGCCACCCAUAUAAGGGAAAUAAAAAUAAUAUAAUAUUAUUUUCACAAGUAACAAAUUUUUAUACAUACUUUAAAUUCAUUCUGUACCUUUUAACUAGCAUGGUUUAAACUAACACGUAAUCUGUGCAUAUGUUUAGAGGAAUGAAUACUUUAAUAAAAAUUAUGUAAUUAAAUAAAAGUUUACCAUACUGUUUUAUUAUAUAUUGGUUUUUUUUCAAGAUUGAACUUUAUAAAUAUUUUGUUAACUUUGAAACAAUGUAAUGUUUUAAAAAUUAAAGAUGAGAUAAACUAUUACUGAAAUUUAAAUACAAAAAAUUAGUUUAAUAUUUUAAAUAUCAUAUCUUAUUAUAUUUUAUAUAUAUAUAUAUAUUGCAAAGUAAAAUAAAUACAUAAUUCAAGCGCACAAUAUUUAUUUUAUAUUUAAGUUGGAAAAUAUCUCAGGAAAAAAUUUAUUAGGAAUGAAUCCAACUUUAUUUGUGUCAAUAUAUUGUGAUUGUAAAUUAAUAAUUGCUAUACCUAAACAUAAAAACUACGAUUAAAAGAACAAACAUAUAUAAUUAAACAUAAUUUGGUGAAACAACUAUUAAAGAAUGAGAUAUUUUUCAUUCACUGUCUGAAGUUAGAAUGUGAAAUCUAGCACAUCCUUUAACGAAAUCCUUGUGAAGAAAUAUGGUUUUAGAAUCAUUUAGGAGAAUAAGACUUAAACCCUUUGCAAGUAAACAAAUGAUAGUAACUCAACUUUUAUGAUUGAAGAUCCAUGAAUAAGGUUUAUAUAGGUAAAAAUAAAUCACUUGUUGGUUCAUAUAACACUAAAUUGAUUUUAAAUCAAUUAUGUACAUUCAUAUGGUGUGUGUCAAUGUGUUAGAUACUACAUUAUUGAAAGGUUAGACUUUGUAAUUAAAAUCCUAGUGUAAGAAUUUUAGUCUAACAAAGUUUUUAAUGUUUUUCAUAUCUUUUAUGGGUGGGUUGUAUGAUUUGCAACAUACGCUUGAUUAAAUUACCUACAUGAGUGUCGAGUGUGGUGACUUGCAUGAGAUCUUGGAAUAAUUUUUAGAACACUUGUAAAUACUAGACACACGCAUCGCCUAUUAAGCACAAUACAACAAUAUAACAACAAAAAUUAUGAUGAUGUAUUGUGAUUGAUAAACCGCUAAGACAUAUUAUUGUUCUUGGUUUAUAUAACUUAUUAUGUCAACUACAAUAUAUGUUAAGUUUCUCAAUAAGAGUACAUAUUCUAUAAAGGUUUGCUUUUAUAAAAAAAGAGAAAGAGAGAGAGAAAAUAUUACAUAUAGAGAGAUUUUUUAUAUUUUUUAUUAUGAUAAAAAAAAUGGGAGAAAAUUUUUAAAUCUUAAAUGUCUUAAGAAAUUGUUUAAUGCUUUCCUCUUUUGUAGUACGUGUUUUUGUAGGUUUAUUACAAAUACUUUAAAAAAAUUGAAUACCAUAAAAAAAAAGGAGAAAUUGUUGACUAAAGAAAAAGAUGUUGGAAGUUUUUUAGUUUAUUUGUAUGGAAGUUUUUUAGUUUAUUUGUAUGAUGAUACUAAGUAAAAAGAUGAAAUAGAAGUUAAUGAUUAUUUGGAAGGCUUGUAUUUUGUUUGUUGUAAUGUUUUGAUUUGUAAUGUCUUUAUAAUAUUCUUGUAAUACUUGUUAAAGUAUUUUAGCUCAAGUCUAGAGAGUCAUAAAGUAACAACAUUUUGAAACACUAAGGAAAAACAAUUUUUUAAAUAUACACGAUGAUAAUCGAUUAUCACCUAUGACAAUUAACUAUUGCAUAAAGAAAUUAUUUUCGAAAAAUAGUUUUCGAUUAUAACUUAACUUUACAUAUUGUUAACCUAAUUCCAAAAUUUGGCUUUAUAAACGAAGUAAGGAAUUCUCUUUCAAAAAUAUAAGAGUUGGGUUAUAAUUUUAUGUGAAAAACUUUGAAAGCCUUUUGUGGAUAGAACAAUAACUUUAAUCAAGUGUGAUCUUGAGUGACUGAGUACAAAUGUUCUUGUUAAGUGAAACUAUUUAUCCUUUGUGUGACUCAAAUAAAGUGUUUAUACCUUGUGGAUUUUAUUCUUUCGUCUUUUGUAUAACUCAAGAGGAGUGUUUAAUUUUUUGUAAUAUUAAAAAAAAUGUUUAUUUUCUUAUGGUUUAAAUAAAAGUGUUCUUAAUAUCUUGGGAUUCUUCGGGCAAAGCAUGUAUUCUUUUUUAAACUAUUCAUUCUAUUAUUGUUUGUUAUUUUAGUUUAUUUUUAAUUGUUAGUUAAUUAUUAUUAAGAGUGGUUAAGAAUGACUUCUUUCCAUUCCAUUAUAAAAUUGUACAGUAUUAUACUAUUAACUUUUGCUUUUUUAUGUUUAUUUUUGUUAAAAUAGGGUAUUAUUAUUAAUCCGACAGCUUUUAUUUGUUGUCUGUAAUUUUGUUUUUUUAAAUACAGUUAACUUCUAUUACCAAUAAUACCUGCAAGGAUAUUUUUAAUUUAAUACUAAAGAAAUUAUAGAAUACUAUAAUUAAGAUUAGUAGUAUUAACAAAGUAGGGGUUACUGAUAAUAAAAUUUGACAGUAUUAACUUUGAUAGAUAUAGCAAGUUAAUUAAUUAGAGUGUUCUUACAGUGGAAUGGUGGUUAUACUCGUAAAGCAUAAUUUUGAAAACUUGAUGUUGAAGAUGGUGUCUGAUAGAAAAUGAAAGAAAGAAGAAAAAGCAAAGAAUGAUGAAAGCAUAAAAGAGAUUUUAUAUAUGAAGUGAGAGUACAAAAGCAUCAUAGACAUUCUGGUUACAGAUUCAUGGAAAGAGAGAGAGAAGAUGAUUAUUGAUGGAGGCACUACAAAGAUGAAAGUCUUUUAUUUAGGAGAUAGAUAAUAUGCUACGUUGCAUGGUUUAGAAGUGACCAUUUUCUUCAACGGGUGGGUGCUUACCAUAAGGGGGCUUAUGGUAUGGCUUUGGUUUGGGUUUAGGCUCGUAAAUUGGUGGUCUUGGCUUGUGGAUGGGUGGCUUAUACUUACGGGGUGGUUUGUAGAAGCUGUCAGACUCAGAUUCAGCAGCAAGCCCUUGAGGGGUCAGAAUCAGAGCCAAAAGGAACAACACAACCAAAGUUAAGAGAGAAUUAGCCAUCUUCAUUCUGUUAUUGCUUCUGCAUCUUACUCACUCAUUCAUCUCCUUUUAUAGUCAGCCUUCACGCACGUCUCAAUCCAAUUCAUUUAUCGUUCCCUCUGUCACUGUAUCAAAUGUCAAACAUUUGGUGUGCAUUUUUCUAUGCCCACUGGUCCCAUUUUGUAUCUCUCCCACUUAAUAAUACCCUCUGUGUUUAUCUCUCCCACUUACUUUUUCUUUAUUAUCAUACCAUUCUCCAAACUUUAUCGUUAAUUCUCAUCUGAAUUCGACCACUGUCGGAUACAACAAAACAAAAACACUUUCUACUACUCAUCUAGUAUACUCUCUAAUAAUUACAGAACCAUCUCGGAUCCGGUUCCCGGAUUGUUGCCGACAACACUAUUCGGCCCUAUGACACAUUUAAUUUAUUGAAUUCGUGACAAAAAUUAUCUCUGUAAUAAAAUUUAAUAUAAAUUUUUUAAUAACGUGUAUAAAUAAAUAGGAAAUGUUUUUUAAUAAUUUUUUUACAAUAUUAUUUGUGAUUGAUUUAUUUUAAAUAUUUUUUUUUAAAAUAAAUUUAUAUAGAUCAAUAAAACAAUAAAAUGUGACUGUUGUCAAAAAAAUUAUUAUGGAAAAGUUGUUAAUAGUCUAAAUAAAUAAUACAAAUGACAUAUUAUUAUUUGUUUGGACCAAUUUUUGUGAUUGUGACUUUUGUUUUAAUAGUAAAAUUAUUUUUUUGGUUUAUUCUUAAUUGAUCAAUCCAUUUUAUUUUGAAUAGGAAUAAUAGUUAACCUUCGUGAUUGUUUACAACACAUUUUAUUACAUACUGAUACAGUUGUUAUCAUGUGAUAUUGAUUCACACGGAUGAAUAUUUAUAUGAAGACGAUUAUUUGAUAAUGUAUUUUUAUUCUAAUUAUUUUAAUUUAAUUAUUUUUUAUUUUUCUGAAGUUCUAACUCAUAUCAUUAUAACUUUUUCUUAUUUUAUUAUCUUUGUCCUGUAUUCAAUUAAUUAAAUAAAAACAAAAAACAAAUAUCAUUAAACAUAAUAAAAUAAAAAUAAAUAAAAAAUCACUUUACUUAAAACAAAAUUAAAACUAUUUGGGUCCAAAAAAAAUAUUUUGAAUUGAAAUUUUCAUAAACAUGAUGACUUCACUUAAAAAAAAUGUUGAAAUUGUAGCAUUUCAUAAGACUUCAACUAUAAGAAAACCUUCAUAAGUAUAAUAACUUCACUUUAAGAAACUAAAAAAAAGAAUAGAAGUCGUUAUAGUCGUACCAUCUAAUAUGACUUUAACCCAUAUGUACGACUUAUCUUAUUGUGUAAAAUUUUAAAAAUCUAACUUCUUUACAUAAAUACAAAAGUUGAUUAAUUCCUUUUGGUUAAUUAACCUGUUUACAAAUACUUCACUACAAUAUUGGUAUGUUGAUAUCAAAUUCAGUCAUGGAAUAGUUUAAAUAGAGACGUAGUUUAAAUAGUUUUUUUUUCUACUAUAAUUUAUCCAUAUAUUGUAUAAAGACAUGACAAUUAUUGAGAAAAUGAAAAAGUUCAUUGUCUAAGAAAGAUAAAGAAAAUGAGCUAUAUGAUUAAGAUAUUAUAAAGGAUGGAUAAUAUUUUAUGUAAUAUUUAUUACUACACAAAAAAAAAAAAACAUUAGAAUUAAUGAAUGGCUAUAGUUGAAAGAAAUAAAAGAAAGUAGUAAUAGUAGUGGAGGAAGAAAAAGAACAUAAAAAUCCAUUAUAAUGGCUAGUUUUAUUAGUGUCUCCUGUAUAAGAAAUGAAAAAGUGGAUCUAAAACAAGAGAGAUAAGACACAACACUUUGAUAAAGCGACAAGAAGCCUAUCUUGUUUAAAUCUCAUUUUGUUCUCCAAACAUCUUAUUUGUUAUAAAAACUCUCAUUUAGUAUAUAUCUAAUGAGUGAUUAUAUGCUAGUGAGCUUUCUUUUUGUAACUUGUCUUUGAGACCUAAAAACCUAAACUUAGAAGUAAGUUUAAAUAUCUAUUUUUGAGUUUUACACUACAAAAACUACAGUAAUUAACGUCCACAAAAACCCCACGAAGAAAACAAAAGAAUAUGAAUCACAUAAUCGAACAAAAAAAAAAUAAGAAAAUUUUAUCUUAGAAGUCCCACGUUAACUUGAUUAAUGAUCAAUUUAUAAUAUAUAAAUGGAUAUAAAUCUCAUCGUACAAAUAGUUUUUUAGAAUUGAGUUAGAUUUAAAAUCUGAUUUUGAGUACUGACAAAGAUAAACACAAUAUACAAAUUCACAAAAUGGAUAAUGAUAUUUAGACAACAUUUUUUUGAUAACAUUUAAACAUCACCUACGUGUCAUUUUGUUAUUGGUCCAGUGGUGUUUAGAUAGAUAAUCCUGAACACGCAACCUCCAGUCAUGUUUUUUCCUUUUUACAUGUGUUCUUUUUUCCUUUUAUAAAGGGGUUCACCUCUUUGGCCAGUGUAACUUUUCAAUACAUUAUUUCUCUCCCCUUUCUUGUUUGUCUUCCUUUAGCUAUGCAAGACAUGUUCUUUUUUGCUUUUCUUUUUAGCCUAAUGGUUCACACUGUUCUUGUGUCAGUCUAUUAUGCACAACUUUAAAUAUAAAAUUUAUAUUUUGAAUUAUUUUAGAUUAUAAAAUAAAAAUAUAUAUUUUAACUUACAAAAUCCAAAAUAAAAAUUUUAUAUUCUAAAAUAUAUUAUUCAAAUUGUAUAUUUUAAAACUCAAAAUAAACAUAUGUAUUGUUCUUACGAAUCAUGUAUUCUUGGAUUGAGAAAACCUGAAACGUGUGAUGUUAUGUUAUGGGAGAGCAUGAGUACCAAAGGAGGAGUUUGUGGUUGAGAGAAUAAUGAGAGAAAAUUUAGUGUUUUCUUUUUUUUCUCUUAAUCUAAUCUAAUAACUAUAGAAAAUUCACUAUUUUAGUAACCUCAAUUUUACAUGCAUUCUAUUUCUUCUACUUAGACCCUAUUAAACUCCUCAUCCAACAUAUUAAUUUCAUCUAUACCAUAAAAAGGUAAUUAAUUAAAACACAAAAAUAACAUAAAUAGUCACAUGCAAAAUUUAAAAUUAAAUCAAUAUUAUGAAUUUUCUAAGACUUAAACACUAAAAUUGAUAAAAAAAAAUAAAAUAAAAAACAAAAAUCAAAAUUGUGACUUAAAAAAAUGAAAUAGUAAAAUAAGUAUUAAUAUAUUUUAUUUUUAAUAAGUUAAAAAAAUAUAAUAUUAAUAACAACUUUAAAUUUAUUAAUUUUAUUGAUUACUAUGGUUAAACACAAGUAAAUUUUUUAAUAUAUAUCAUAUAAAAAAUAUUUAAUAAUUUUUUAUAAUUAAUUACAUAUUAAAAGUAAUUUUUCAUAAUAAUUUGUAAGAAAACAAACACGUAUUUAAUUAUUUUAAUAAUUAAUAUAAUAAAAAAGACUAAAAAUUUUAUACUGAAAUUAUAAUUUUUUUAAUUAUACUAAAAGAGUAUAUAUCAACAUUUAUUAUAUUAAAAUAAUUAUUUAUCCUAAAAUACACAAACUAAAUUAUUGAACUGAAUUAUAUAAAAUUAAUAAAAGAGAAAAUAAAAAUAAAAAACGUGUAAAGAAGGGACAAAAUUAAAUGUGAACACAUAUUUGUAAUUAAUAUAUUUUCGGCUGAUUGAAAAGGUGUUGAUCAGUAUACGACGAAAGUGUCUUUGUCUGCUUGAUGCCAUUUCCAUCACAGUAGAAGUAGCCGACUGCAACUCAUCCUCCAUUACUGUAUAAUUGUUUCAACUUUUCAAGACUGAUUCAUGUGCUUUCACAUUUAUGAUCAAUGUUUUUGGACAGAAACAUGUUGGCUAUAUUAUUCAUUGUUUGGUUAAAUUUCGAUAAGGUUUGAAAUUUCAACGGAUAGGUAGGGAAUAUGAAAUUUGCUACUCUCAAAUUAAAGACUAUAGUACCAUUCUUAUUGUGAGUCGUUGAAAAACUUUAGUAAUUUCGUUAUCAAACUUUUUUCUUUUGCUAGUAAUUUUAUUAAGUUAUGUCAUCUUCUCUUGUUUUAUGUGCUACCACCACCAUUUGUUCUUGUUUUUACUAAUGUAUAAUUAGAACAAAGAAUAAGCUAAUGCAUUUAAAGUAAAAAAAAAAAAAAAAAAAAACAAAAUUAUUAUCAAUUUAUAUUUGAGAAAAACAUAAUUCUCGGUUUAAUUUUCAUUUUUUUCAUCUAUUUUAAAUACUUAUUCACUAAACAUACUAAGUAAAAACCAUUCUAACUAUUCAAACAGUUCAUAUUUAUCAAAAUCAACUAUCCAACAUACAUUAGUGCACAUAACUUUAUUUGCACAAAAAUAGUUCACCUUUAUCAAAAUCAAUUAUCCAACUUUAGCCCACACCACACAUAUAGAUCCAAAUGGCUCAGACAAAUAAAUACAUCUAGACGCUGCUUCUAAAAGACUGGUUUAUCGAAUAGACUGAUGAAUAAAUACAUCCUAUCAUACUUACUACUAAUUUCUUCUCAUUAUAACCAUAUUAGAAACCAAUAUUGUUCAUCAAGUCAUAACAUGAUUAACUUCACUAGUUCCCUGAUUCUCUUUCAUAUCAUAUAGUCUAAAGUGAAGCUUCCUUUGACUCUCACCACGUGGAUAUUUUUCACUAUGUAAGUUGGAUACUAGUAGAGUCGGGAUAAUCUCAUUGACGAAAUCCCUUUCAAUACACUUUGACACACUAAAUAGUAGCAUUUUCAAUUGAAAAUAGGUAUUAGGACUCAAACUGCACAUUAUCAAACCAAACCAAGUUCAAAAAAAUCUACCUUUAUAUAACAUUCAACAUAACUUCCACCCAACACAACAUCCCCACCGCUCACACUCCAAAAUGUAUCAUUUUUCACCCAACGCUUGAAAGCUACCACCUAGCGUCCACACUGCUGCAACUAUGAUGCUCAACGGUGUUCAAGGCCUAACCUAGCGGUAACAAGUCAAUAGUUGGUAUCUUAAGAAAUUUACACUAACACCCAACAAUACCCACACAAACAAAACUGAAACACGUCUAAAAUGCUUUAAAUGUUAAUAUACCAAAGAUAACAUACCCACUUUUAUCAAUAUGAUUCACUUCAUGUUCACAAACUACAUCAAUUCAUUGCUUUCAUCUACUUUAAGUUACCAUCUAUCAAUUAUACAUCAUUACAGACAUAAAUACCCAUAUUGUUGUUCAAGAUAUGAAACCUCAUUCAAAAGAUUUCAAUUCUAUAACACAUCUCUUAUGAAUCUAACCAACUUUCACCCAAAACCCAACAACUAAAAUUGGGAAAAUUGAAUAAGAUAAAAGAUCCUUACACUUACAAAUUUCACAAAGGUACAUGAUACUUUUAUAAUCGGUGCAACAUAAUAAUUCAAGACAUACAUGCACACUAAAACACUAAUUACCAAUAUGAUAUAUAUUCUAAAGUUAUUUAAAGUUUCAAACACAUUAAAAGGAUUCUAAACCUAGUGCAAAAAUCACAUACAAAUUUACUUACAUCAAAUAUACUAAUUUCUCAAUAAUUGAUAGAGACAAAGGUCCAACCAAAACUCAACCCUUCUCAAUACCAUUCUAUUAUAUAUUGCCACAGUACUCAAAACAACCAAAAACCAAAUUUCUCUUCUUCCUUCAAUAGUUUCACAAGUUCGACAUUUAGAUUUUCUUUAUUAAGCCAACAUCAAAAACAAUUUUGCACGUCUGCUACAUUAAUCACAAAUAUAGUCCAAUCUAAAUUUCUCAAUCAAAUUUUGUGCAUCGUAGAUUUCCAUGCAUAUAAUUAUGAAUACAAAUUAAAAAUAAACUAAAUGAUUAGUUUUCCUUACCUUAAAGAAAAUUCUUAGUGCUACUUUUCUCCUACACAACUUCAAAAUGUAUAAUUGCUCUAUCUAUAUAUACAACCGAAAAAGAGCCUCAUGGAAGAGAUAAAACAUAUUACUUUAACGAAAAAGAGACAAAAAUUGAAAUUACUCAAAAGAUGAAAUUGAUCGAUACAAAAUGUUCCUUAGCUCCUCAAUUUCAACAUGAUGCAUUUUGAUUUUGAAAAAUAUGAGAAAUUAAAGGUGAAAUUUGAGAGAGAAGGGAGAAAAAUGGUUGAAAGAAAAGAAAAAAUUUUAUAGUGUGUGUGGGGUUUACAAUAUGUAUGAGUAACUUCUCCAAGCCCUUCUAUAAGGGCUAUUUUAUAAUAUAGCAGUUGCUUCCAACAUUUCCUAAAAUUAUAGUUAUUAGUUGUGUUCAAUAUAGUAAAAAGUAUGUGAAGUACACAGGAACACACUAGAGAGAAGGGAGGUGAAGAGUGUUUUCAAAACAUUUUCACAAAGUAGCAUCUAAAUAACUUGUAAUGAGAAUAUAUAAAGGUGUACUAUGCUUUGACGCUGGUUUUAUGGGAUAGGUAAAUAAGAAUAGGUUCAGACGAUGGCAUUUCAAAAGAAUUUGUAAAAGCUUUAAGGGGAAAAACAAUAAAGUGCAAUUUUUAUACUAGUUCACUCAAUCUGAGCUAUGUCUAGUUCUCUUUUAAAAAUUCUUAGGGGUUUCAAUAAUCUUAUCAAAGAUUGCACAAGUUUAACCCACUCUUGGUUGCAAGUAUUCUUACACCACUCCUGGUCUCCUAGUCAACACAACUAGUCCGAGUUUAGUCUCUCUAAGAUAUAACCCUAUACAACACGUCUAGACUGAGUUUACCGACUCCUGGUUGUAAGUAUUCUUACACCACUUUUGGUCCCCUAUUUAACACGAUUAAUCCAAGUUUGACUUCUCUAAAAUCUAACACUAGACAACUGUCUAAACGAGUUUACUCACUCUUGGUUGCAAGUAUUAUUUUUCACUCCUAACACCCGAGUAUUUUAACCAUUCCUAGUUUACAAGUGUAUGAAUACAAAAUGGAAAUAACUCUUUUAGAAAGGAUGUUUAAUGAGAACAAAAUAUUCCGAAGUUCUUGUAAUUGCUCUCUCUCUAAUCAAAUGACAUAGGCUUAGAGCAAGACGCAUUUCUGUUGUUGACUCUCCAGUUUUCUCUCCUCUUGAUUUUUUUUUUUGCAUUAGACGCUAUGAGCACGAAGACAAACAUCAGAGUAGAUUUUCAAUAAGGUUUUCUUUUCUUUUCUUCUCUUCUCUUUUCUUUUUUGAAAGCUUUGAAAACUUUCAUGAUGGAAAACUUAGAGUUCUAUAAAAUUUAAGAAAUAAGAAAGAAAUUGAAAUCAUAGAAAGAUCCACAACAUUUCGCAAAAUUUUUGACAAGUGCUCAAUACUUCAAUUAUAACUAAUCUACUUUUGUAUUUAUGUAAAAAAAAUUGAAUUUUUAAAAUUUUACAUAAUAGGAUGAAGUCAUACAUGGGUUAAAGUCAUUUUAGAUAGUAUGACUGCAACUGAAUCAAAUUUCUCUUAUUUGAAGUUGUACGAGGUUACAUGACUUCUAUUUUUUAUUUUUUUAUUUUCUUAACGUGAAGUUAUUAUAGGUUUAUUUAAAAACAUUAUUUUAAUAUUAUAGUUGAAGUCAUAUGAAACGGUAUAACUUCAACAUUUUUUCUAAGUGAAGUCAUCAUGUUUAUGAAAACCUCAAUUCAAAAUAUUUUUUUUGGUACCGAAGUAGUUUUAAUUUUGUUUGAAGUAAAGUGAUUUUUUUAUUUUUUAUUUUAUUAUGUUUGAUGAUAUUUUAUUUUGUUUUUAUUUAAUUAAUUUAAUAUAGUAGUAUACUAUAUGAGUAGUAGGGUAGUAGAAAGUGUUUUUGUUUUGUUGUAUCCGACAGUGGUCGAAUUCAGAUUAGAAUUAACGAUAAAGUUUGGAGAAUGGUGUAAUAGUAUAGAAAAAAGUAAGUGGGAGAGAUAAACACAGAGGCUAUUAUUAAGUGGGAGAGAUACAAAAUGGGACCAGUGGGCAUAGAAAAAUGCACACCAAAUGUUUGACAUUUGACAGAGUGACAGAGGGAACGAUAAAUGAAUAGGAUUGAGACGUGCGUGAAGGCUGACUAUAAAAGGAGAUGAAUGAGUGAGUAAGAUGCAGAAGCAAUAACAGAAUGAAGAUGGCUAAUUCUCUCUUAACUUUGGUUGUGUUGCUCCUUUUGGCUCUGAUUCUGACCCCUCAAGGGCUUGCUGCUGAAUCUGAGUCUGACAGCUUCUACAAACCACCCCAUAAGUAUAAGCCACCCAUCCACAAGCCAAGACCACCAAUUUACAAGCCUAAACACAAACCAAAGCCAUACCACAAGCCCCCUUAUGGUAAGCACCCACCCGUUGAAGAAAAUGGUCACUUCUAAACCAUGCAACGUAUCAAGUUAUCUAUCUCCUAAAUAAAAACACUUUCAUCUUUGUAGUGCCUCCAUCAAUAAUCAUUUCAAUCAUCUUCUCUCUCUCUUUCCAUGAAUCUGUAACCAGAAUAUCUAUCAUGCUUUUGUACUCUCACUUCAUAUAUAAAAUGUCUUUUAUGCUUUCCUCGUUCUUUGCUUUUUCUUCUUUCUUUCAUUUUCUAUCAGACACCAUCUUCAACGUCAAGUUUGAAAAAUUAUGCUUUACGAGUAUAACCACCAUUCCACU
rnacentral:lncRNA from 1 species